rnacentral:rRNA from 1 species
GCGAAAACUUUGCAAUACACGAAGGUGUGACAGGGUCAUCCCGAGUGCCGACCGCUGAGGUUGGCUUUUACCCAGUCUAGAAAGCUGGGGGAAUAAGGAGAGGGCAAGUCUGGUGUCAGCCGCCGCGGUAAUACCAGCUCUCCGAGUGGUGUGGACGUUUAUUGGGCCUAAAGCAUCCGUAGCUGGCUGAACAAGUCCCCUGUUAAACCCACCGAUUUAAUCGUUGGUCUGCGGGGGAUACUGCUCGGCUAGGGGACGAGAGAGGCAGGCGGUAUUCUCGGGGUAGGGGUGAAAUCCUAUAAUCCCGGGAAGACCACCAGUGGCGAAGGCUGCCUGCUAGAGCGCGCCCGACGGUGAGGGAUGAAAGCUGGGGGAGCGAACCGGAUUAGAUACCCGGGUAGUCCCAGCUGUAAACGAUGCAGACUAGGUGUUUGGACGGCCACGUGCCGUUCUAGUGCCGCAGGGAAGCUGUUAAGUCUGCCGCCUGGGGAGUACGAUCGCAAGAUUGAAACUUAAAGGAAUUGGCGGGGGAGCAC